AAGUCGUAACAAGGUUUCCGUAGGUGAACCUGCGGAAGGAUCAUUACCGAGUGCGGGCCCGCUCCGGGCCCAACCUCCCACCCGUGUCUCUUGCGUACUUUGUUGCUUUGGCGGGCCCACCGGGUCACUCCGGUCGCCGGGGAGCGCUAUGCUCCCGGGCCCGUGCCCGCCAGAGCACCCCUGUGAACCCUGAUGAAGAGAGGCUGUCUGAGUCCCACGAUAAUCGUUAAAACUUUCAACAAUGGAUCUCUUGGUUCCG
rnacentral:misc_RNA from 1 species